rnacentral:rRNA from 1 species
UACGUAGGUGGCAAGCGUUGUCCGGAAUCACUGGGCGUAAAGCGCGCGCAGGCGGCGAUCUACGUCUGGGGUGAAAGCCCGGAGCUCAACUCCGGGGACUGCCUUGGAUACGGGAUCGCUUGAGGAUUGGAGAGGCAAGGGGAAUUCCACGUGUAGCGGUGAAAUGCGUAGAGAGUGAUGGAGGAACACCGUGGCGAAGGGCGGGGUCUCUUGGGCGAA